rnacentral:ncRNA from 1 species
GACUGGAGAUAAAAAGGUUUUACAGUGUUGCCAUUGCUCACUUUGAAAUCGUUGAGUUUGUUAAUAAAAAAUUCUUUAAAGGUUUACAAAAAAUGAAAUCGAUAAUUAAACAAAUUCCAAAUUUCAAAUUUGGGCUUCCAGAUAACCAUAUUGGCAGCAGGAGUACGUCAUUCAAAAUUCGAUGGCUCUAAGUACCGUCGUUUUAGCACAGUGCGAGAAACAUGCAUAUAUUUAACCACAUUCUUCUUUAUUUAAUUUCUUUAAAUAUAAUACAGGGCUGUAAUUGAGUUCGUAAAAGCACCGCGGCUCUUGCGGUGUCCGGUACGCUCCUGUCGACCCUUGCAAAUCCGAGGGAGAGAUUAUGAUUUUCGUGCCAGACCGUACCCAUUUCCGCAGCAGGUCUCCAAGGUGAACAGCCUCUAGUC